UACGUAGGGCGCAAGCGUUGUCCGGAAUUAUUGGGCGUAAAGAGCUCGUAGGCGGUUUGUCACGUCGGAUGUGAAAGCCCGGGGCUUAACCCCGGGUCUGCAUUCGAUACGGGCAGACUAGAGUGUGGUAGGGGAGAUCGGAAUUCCUGGUGUAGCGGUGAAAUGCGCAGAUAUCGGGAAGAACACCCGUGGCGAAGGCGGUUCUCUGGGACGGUACUGACGCUGAGACGCGAAAGCGUGGGGAGCGAACAGG
rnacentral:rRNA from 1 species